rnacentral:rRNA from 1 species
GUCCACGCCCUAAACGAUGUCGACUAGCCGUUGGGCUCAUAAAAGAGCUUAGUGGCGCAGUUAACGCGAUAAGUCGACCGCCUGGGGAGUACGGCCGCAAGGCUAAAACUCAAAUGAAUUGACGGGGGCCGCACAAGCGGUGGAGCAUGUGGUUUAAUUCGAUGCAACGCGAAGAACCUUACCUGGCCUUGACAUCCUGCGAACUUUCUAGAGAUAGAUUGGUGCCUUCGGAGCGCAGAGACAGGUGCUGCAUGGCUGUCGU